UGAAAAAACAAUCAUUUUUUAAUAUUAUUACAGUUUAUAUAUUCAUAUGUUAUGCCUGGUAUAUUAGUGGAUUUUAUCACACUGGCAUCGGGUAAUUUUAAAACAAGUUGACUGGAAACGUGUCACACAUGAACAAUAAUUUUCUUAUAUCAUCUCUGUCUCGGGUGAUAUAUUAAUUAUGUACCUAGCAGAGACUUCUCGCUAACAAAUAUUCACAUGGACGUCCCUUCAGUAUCAUUUAGUAAAUGUUCAGAUCAAUAGGUUUAAGUAUAGUUUUGAAUGCUUCUUAAGUAAUUUCGUAGGGUUGUACAUGUAUAAGCGUUGAUCGCACUUCAUACAAGAUGUAUUUCGGUCAACCCUAUAAAUUUACAGAAAGAAGCAUUCAAUUCUUAAAUAAAAUAAUCCUUGAACUAUUGGCUAAGGCCGAAACACGAACAGAUAUGCCAGUGACAAAAAGUACGUACAUGCAGCAGGAGAAUUUGAUUUCAGCUUUAAAGUGGGACUAAGUUCAUAAUUUAAUAAAACAUUUUUUUAAAGUUUUAAAACUAUUCACUGGCUAUAUAGUUCUUAAUUUGAACAAGAAAUAUAGGAAAGAGUCUUAAUGGGCUAUUCCUUCAUUCUAGAAAAAUUGCAUCCAGGAAACUUACUUUCUAUUUUGAAAUAAUACAUAAUUCUAUAUAGUUUUUGGAAAUAUUCAAAGCCUUCUGUACAAUCGGCUAUGAAAGGCAACUACAUGUAAAAUGUAAAUAAUUCAUACUUGCAAACAAACGGACUUAUUUAUAACAAAACAAUUCCGCAAAACAAACAUGACAGGCACAAACCAACG
rnacentral:lncRNA from 1 species